UGCAUUUGUAGCUCAUGAGGAUGAGAACCUCCGGGGGCAGGGAGGUUCGACUCGAGCGAAGCGAGAGAACGUUGCGCCAGCAACGGCCCGCAGGGCGAGCCACGAAGUGGCG
rnacentral:sRNA from 1 species